rnacentral:rRNA from 1 species
AUUGAACGCUGGCGGCAGGCCUAACACAUGCAAGUCGAACGGUAACAGGAAGCAGCUUGCUGCUUUGCUGACGAGUGGCGGACGGGUGAGUAAUGUCUGGGAAACUGCCGGAUGGAGGGGGAUAACUACUGGAAACGGUAGCUAAUACCGCAUAACGUCGCAAGACCAAAGAGGGGGACCUUAGGGCCUCUUGCCAUCGGAUGUGCCCAGAUGGGAUUAGCUAGUAGGUGGGGUAACGGCUCACCUAGGCGACGAUCCCUAGCUGGUCUGAGAGGAUGACCAGCCACACUGGAACUGAGACACGGUCCAGACUCCUACGGGAGGCAGCAGUGGGGAAUAUUGCACAAUGGGCGCAAGCCUGAUGCAGCCAUGCCGCGUGUAUGAAGAAGGCCUUCGGGUUGUAAAGUACUUUCAGCGGGGAGGAAGGGAGUAAAGUUAAUACCUUUGCUCAUUGACGUUACCCGCAGAAGAAGCACCGGCUAACUCCGUG